GACGAACGCUGGCGGCGUGCUUAACACAUGCAAGUCGAACGGUAAGGCCCUUCGGGGUACACGAGUGGCGAACGGGUGAGUAACACGUGGGUGAUCUGCCCUGCACUUCGGGAUAAGCCUGGGAAACUGGGUCUAAUACCGGAUAGGACUCCUGGCUUCAUGGUUGGGGGUGAAAGCUUUUGCGGUGUGGGAUGGGCCCGCGGCCUAUCAGCUUGUUGGUGGGGUAAUGGCCUACCAAGGCGACGACGGGUAGCCGGCCUGAGAGGGUGACCGGUCACACUGGGACUGAGAUACGGCCCAGACUCCUACGGGAGGAAGCAGUGGGGAAUAUUGCACAAUGGGCGCAAGCCUGAUGCAGCGACGCCGCGUGAGGGAUGACGGCCUUCGGGUUGUAAACCUCCUUCAGCUAUGACGAAGCGCAAGUGACGGUAGUAGCAGAAGAAGGACCGGCCAACUACGUGCCAGCCGCCGCGGUAA
rnacentral:rRNA from 1 species